rnacentral:rRNA from 1 species
GGCGGACGGGUGAGUAACACGUGGGUAACCUGCCUGUAAGACUGGGAUAACUCCGGGAAACCGGGGCUAAUACCGGAUAACAUUUUUCUUCGCAUGAGGAAUAAUUGAAAGAUGGCUUUUAGCUAUCACUUACAGAUGGACCCGCGGCGCAUUAGCUAGUUGGUGAGGUAAUGGCUCACCAAGGCAACGAUGCGUAGCCGACUUGAGAGGGUGAUCGGCCACACUGGGACUGAGACACGGCCCAGACUCCUACGGGAGGCAGCAGUAGGGAAUCUUCCGCAAUGGACGAAAGUCUGACGGAGCAACGCCGCGUGAGUGAUGAAGGUUUUCGGAUCGUAAAACUCUGUUGUUAGGGAAGAACAAGUAUCGUUCGAAUAGGGCGGUACCUUGACGGUACCUAACCAGAAAGCCACGGCUAACUACGUGCCAGCAGCCGCGGUAAUACGUAGGUGGCAAGCGUUGUCCGGAAUUAUUGGGCGUAAAGCGCGCGCAGGCGGUUUCUUAAGUCUGAUGUGAAAUCUUGCGGCUCAACCGCAAGCGGUCAUUGGAAACUGGGAGACUUGAGUGCAGAAGAGAAGAGCGGAAUUCCACGUGUAGCGGUGAAAUGCGUAGAGAUGUGGAGGAACACCAGUGGCGAAGGCGGCU